AUCGAUUCAACGUGCACACCAAAUCUUUUUGUCUCCCAAAACUAUUUUUGUCCUCUUAUCUUCUUCGUUGGUGGAGCUUUUCAAACAGAUCGAGAGCUCUUGAAACAUAGAAAUGGUGUACUACAAUAUCCCGUCAAGGCAGAGCUCGAGCAACAACAAGAGCAAAAGGAACUCAUUCAUAAGGCAACUCCAACAAUAGCUAUGGAAGAAGAAGAAGAAGAAGAAGAAGAAACAAAUUAUAUUAUGGGUCGAGCAAAGUAGAUUCUCAGACGAAACCGAUUCUGGCUCUUGCAGAGAUUUUGGAGCUCACAAAGAAAUAUUUUCUCCGAAUUUAUUCGAGUUUUGGUACAACGGAACGACAAGGUUAUUCCUUUGUUCUUUUUUGAAUGUGUUGCUUUGAUAUUUUCUGGUGAUCGAAACACAUUUAUGUGGUUUUCUAACUUAAUUUACCUGUUUAUAUUGUACGUAAGCUUCAUAUACCCAUAUACGCACACUGUGUUUGGAACACCAGAAAUCUCAAAGUAUUGCUUUUCUUUUGCA